AUUGAACGCUGGCGGCAGGCCUAACACAUGCAAGUCGAGCGAGUGGCGGACGGGUGAGUAAUGUCUGGGGAUCUGCCCGAUAGAGGGGGAUAACUACUGGAAACGGUAGCUAAUACCGCAUACUAUCGGAUGUGCCCAUAUGGGAUUAGCUAGUAGGUGGGGUAAAGGCUCACCUAGGCGACGAUCCCUAGCUGGUCUGAGAGGAUGACCAGCAACACUGGGAGUGAGACACGGCCCAGACUCCUACGGGAGGCAGCAGUGGGGAAUAGUGCACAAUGGGCGCAAGCCGGAUGCAGCCAUGCCGCGUGUAUGAAGAAGGCCUUAGGGUUGUAAAGUACUUUCAGCGGGGAGGCGUUACCCGCAGAAGAAGAACCGGCUAACUCCGUGCCAGCAGCCGCGGUAAUAC
rnacentral:rRNA from 1 species